rnacentral:rRNA from 1 species
AUUGAACGCUGGCGGCAGGCCUAACACAUGCAAGUCGAGCGAGAGGCGGACGGGUGAGUAAUGUAUGGGGACUGCCCGAUAGAGGGGGCUAACUACUGGAAACGGUAGCUAAUACCGCAUACUAUAGGAUUACCCAUAUGGGAUUAGCUAGUAGGUGGGGUAAUGGCUCACCUAGGCGACGAUCCCUAGCUGGUCUGAGAGGAUGAUCAGCCACACUGGAACUGAGACACGGCCCAGACUCCUACGGAGGCAGCAGUGGGGAAUAUUGCACAAUGGGCGCAAGCCUGAUGCAGCCAUGCCGCGUGUAUGAAGAAGGCCCUAGGGUUGUAAAGUACUGUCAGUCGGGAGGCGUUACCGACAGAAUAAGCACCGGCUAACUCCGUGCCAGCCGCCGCGGUAAUUC